UACGUAGGGUGCAAGCGUUGUCCGGAAUUAUUGGGCGUAAAGAGCUCGUAGGCGGUUUGUUGCGUCGGCUGUGAAAUCCCGAGGCUCAACCUCGGGUCUGCAGUCGAUACGAGCAAACUAGAGUGUUGCAGGGGAGACUGGAAUUCCUGGUGUAGCGGUGAAAUGCGCAGAUAUCAGGAGGAACACCGGUGGCGAAGGCGGGUCUCGUGGGCAACAACGUGACGC
rnacentral:rRNA from 1 species